AUUGAACGCUGGCGGCAGGCUUAACACAUGCAAGUCGAGCGGGGUGAUGGUGCUUGCACUAUCACUUAGUGGCGGACGGGUGAGUGAUGCUUAGGAAUCUGCCUAUUAGUGGGGGACAACAUCUCGAAAGGGAUGCUAAUACCGCAUACGUCCUACGGGAGAAAGCAGGGGAUCACUUGUGACCUUGCGCUAAUAGAUGAGCCUAAGUCGGAUUAGCUAGUUGGUGGGGUAAAGGCCUACCAAGGCGACGAUCUGUAGCGGGUCUGAGAGGAUGAUCCGCCACACUGGGACUGAGACACGGCCCAGACUCCUACGGGAGGCAGCAGUGGGGAAUAUUGGACAAUGGGGGGAACCCUGAUCCAGCCAUGCCGCGUGUGUGAAGAAGGCCUUAUGGUUGUAAAGCACUUUAAGCGAGGAGGAGGCUCUUUUGGUUAAUACCCAAGAUGAGUGGACGUUACUCGCAGAAUAAGCACCGGCUAACUCUGUGCCAGCCGCCGCAGUAA
rnacentral:rRNA from 1 species